rnacentral:misc_RNA from 1 species
GAUGAAGAACGUAGUGAAAUGCGAUAAGUAAUGUGAAUUGCAGAAUUCAGUGAAUCAUCGAAUCUUUGAACGCACAUUGCGCCCGCCAGUAUUCUGGCGGGCAUGCCUGUUCGAGCGUCAUUUCCACCAUCAGACCCCCGGGCCUGUGUUGGGGACCUGCGGCUGCCCGCAGGCCCCGAAAUUCAGUGGCGGUCGCGCCGUAGCAACCGAGCGUAGUAACUAAAACGUCUCGCUCUGGCUCGCUGGGCGCGCUCCGGCCGUAAAACACCCCCCCUUUUCGCAAAGGUUGACCUCGGAUCAGGUAGGAAUACCCGCUGAACUUAAGCAUAUCAAUAAGCGGAGGA